rnacentral:rRNA from 1 species
USGCAGCUACCAUGCAGUCGACGGUACAGGAAKCAGCUUGCUKMUUYGCUGACGAGUGGCGGACGGGUGAGUAAUGUCUGGGAAACUGCCUGAUGGAGGGGGAUAACUACUGGAAACGGUAGCUAAUACCGCAUAACGUCGCAAGACCAAAGAGGGGGACCUUCGGGCCUCUUGCCAUCGGAUGUGCCCAGAUGGGAUUAGCUWGUAGGUGGGGUAACGGCUCACCUAGGCGACGAUCCCUAGCUGGUCUGAGAGGAUGACCAGCCACACUGGAACUGAGACACGGUCCAGACUCCUACGGGAGGCAGCAGUGGGGAAUAUUGCACAAUGGGCGCAAGCCUGAUGCAGCCAUGCCGCGUGUAUGAAGAAGGCCUUCGGGUUGUAAAGUACUUUCAGCGGGGAGGAAGGGAGUAAAGUUAAUACCUUUGCUCAUUGACGUUACCCGCAGAAGAAGCACCGGCUAACUCCGUGCCAGCAGCCGCGGUAAUACGGAGGGUGCAAGCGUUAAUCGGAAUUACUGGGCGUAAAGCGCACGCAGGCGGUUUGUUAAGUCAGAUGUGAAAUCCCCGGGCUCAACCUGGGAACUGCAUCUGAUACUGGCAAGCUUGAGUCUCGUAGAGGGGGGUAGAAUUCCAGGUGUAGCGGUGAAAUGCGUAGAGAUCUGGAGGAAUACCGGUGGCGAAGGCGGCCCYCUGGACGAAGACUGACGCUCAGUGCGAAAGCGUGGGGAGCAACAGGAUUAGAUACCCUGGUAGUCCACGCCGUAACGAUGUCGACUUGGAGGUUGUGCCCUUGAGCGUGCUUCCGGAGCUAACGCGUUAAGUCGACGCUGGGAGUACGCGCAGGUUAAACUCAAUGAUGACGGGGCCGCACAGCGUGAGCAUGUGUUAUCGAUGCACGCGARAACCUUACCUGGUCUGACAUCCACAGAA